rnacentral:rRNA from 1 species
GAUGAACGCUGGCGGCGUGCCUAAUACAUGCAAGUCGAGCGAACAGACGAGGAGCUUGCUCCUCUGACGUUAGCGGCGGACGGGUGAGUAACACGUGGAUAACCUACCUAUAAGACUGGGAUAACUUCGGGAAACCGGAGCUAAUACCGGAUAACAUGUUGAACCGCAUGGUUCAACAGUGAAAGACGGUCUUGCUGUCACUUAUAGAUGGAUCCGCGCCGCAUUAGCUAGUUGGUAGGGUAACGGCUUACCAAGGCAACGAUGCGUAGCCGACCUGAGAGGGUGAUCGGCCACACUGGAACUGAGACACGGUCCAGACUCCUACGGGAGGCAGCAGUAGGGAAUCUUCCGCAAUGGGCGAAAGCCUGACGGAGCAACGCCGCGUGAGUGAUGAAGGUCUUCGGAUCGUAAAACUCUGUUAUUAGGGAAGAACAAAUGUGUAAGUAACUAUGCACGUCUUGACGGUACCUAAUCAGAAAGCCACGGCUAACUACGUG